rnacentral:lncRNA from 1 species
AGGGACAGCCGCCGACAGCAUCAGCCUCUGCACCAGGGACUCCACAGCACACACUCCCGCUGAGCGGCCUGGGCUUCAGCCCAAAUCCCUCCAGGCCUUCGGGUGGUCCCCACGAACCAGCUUGCCCCUUCGCCAGGAGGCUAGGCCAGUGGCAGCUCUGCACCACCCGUGUCCCCACGCCCACGUUCCUGGGCUCCAACCUGUCCUUACUUCCUGUUUUAAAAAAGAAAACUGUCCUCCUCUGAAGCCCAGGGCAGCACAGGCUCAAUUUCCUUUCUCCUAAACUGCGCCGGAGUGCCUGGCCUCUCUUUGGGUGAAGGCGUCUAACCAGGGCGCAUGGACCGCCUGAGGACAGGGUCUUCCCAGCAGGGAGGGCAGCGAGGAGAAGGGGAUGCGUCCCGGGAGGUGGAUUUUCCUGUUGAGUUUACCAGGAGGUGUCUGUCCUCCAGGGUGUCCUGGGCCCUCCUUUCUAUGGUGCAGGGAUACGUGGCCUAGAGGGGUGGUUCUCCACGUGCAGUCCCCGGACUGAUGACCUCAGCAACCCCUGGGAAUUUGCUAGAAAUGCAGAAUCGUGGGCCCCACCCCGACCUGCCGAAUCCGAAGCUCUGGGGGCAGGGUCCUGCACUCUGUGUUUCAGCAGCUUCUGAUGUGCAGGGAAGUUUCAGACCCGCUGGCCCAGAGGUUCUGCUGCUGACCAGCUAGACUCUCUCCCUUUGGGGCCUCUGCACCGAGAAUUCCCGAGUCUCUGGACCUCACCCUCGUGUGGCAGACAGCCCACGCCCUGCCGCAGGGCUCCUGAUUUCUGCCUCUGAUGACAAACGUGGCCUGAUCAGGCAGUUCGGUUCCAGGCCGCCCAGCCCCGCUUAGCCCACCGCAGAAGAAUAGGCCAGGGUUGCCCCUGUCUGCGCAG